CCCUUAGAUGUUCUGGGCCGCACGCGCGCUACACUGACGCAUUCAACGAGUCUAAAACCUGCUCUGAUAGGGGUGGGUAAUCUUUUGAAUGUGCAUCGUGAUUGGGAUAGAUGAUUGCAAUUUUUCAUCUUCAACGAGGAAUGCCUAGUAAACGCAAGUCAUCAGCUUGCAUUGAUUACGUCCCUGCCCUUUGUACACACCGCCCGUCGCUCCUACCGAUUGAAUGAUCCGAUGAAUAUCAUAGACUGAGAGUAUAAGCAGGUUCGCCUGUCUUUGCUUCUCGGGAAGUGAAGUAAAUCUUAUCAUUUAGAGGAAGGAGAAGUCGUAACA
rnacentral:rRNA from 1 species